rnacentral:rRNA from 1 species
AAUAGAUACCCCGGUAGUCCAUGCCGUAAACGUUGGGCACUAGGUGUGGGGCUCAUUCCACGAGUUCCGUGCCGCAGCAAACGCAUUAAGUGCCCCGCCUGGGGAGUACGGCCGCAAGGCUAAAACUCAAAGGAAUUGACGGGGGCCCGCACAAGCGGCGGAGCAUGCGGAUUAAUUCGAUGCAACGCGAAGAACCUUACCAAGGCUUGACAUGCACGGGAAGCCACCAGAGAUGGUGGUCUCUUUGGACACUCGUGCACAGGUGGUGCAUGGUUGUCGUCAGCUCGUGUCGUGAGAUGUUGGGUUAAGUCCCGCAACGAGCGCAACCCUCGUCCCAUGUUGCCAGCGGGUUAUGCCGGGGACUCAUGGGAGACUGCCGGGGUCAACUCGGAGGAAGGUGGGGAUGACGUCAAAUCAUCAUGCCCCUUAUGUCUUGGGCUUCACGCAUGCUACAAUGGCCGGUACAAAGGGCUGCGAUACCGUAAGGUGGAGCGAAUCCCGAAAAAGCCGGUCUCGAGUUCGGAUUGGGGU